GUCCUUCUGGUCAAACCCCUUGCCGGAGGAAGAUCAAUAACUUUCGAACCAGGACUUAGCUUAACCUGGAUCUAAUAGAGAUCCCUCUGGGAUCAAAACCCUCCCCCCACCAACCUUCCUUUUAAAGAUCUGAUUGCUAAUUAGGAACAACAGCUAUUUAUUUGGGAUAGGAAAACAAGGGAGAGGUUAGGGAAGAGGUUAAACAGGGGAUCCCUCAGCUAAAAGCCCAGACUGAAGGUGGGUUCUUUCGGCUUUGGCCAACAGCUGGGACAGCCUUCUCUGUCUUCUUGUUUCUCCUAUGCUGGAUAACCUAAUCUAAUAUCAGAGAACCAGCAAGUGUCUUUCCGUGUAGCUGGCACAGAGAAAGACGAUUCGGGCUUCAGGACUGACUCAGUCCGCCCUUCAGGGUAAAACCCUCUCAGGCAGCUGAAUGUCUAGUCAGUCCACGCAAGUCUUGAAUGAACAGAGAGACAGGAUCAGUAAACAGUCACUGUGGGCACCGGAUAUGAUCGGGAACGCCUCAGGAAAUGGUGGUUUCCAAUCCUGAGGAGGGAGUGGGAGCUGUUUCACUCCAGGGUUCCGAACUGAACUGAACCAGUGUUCUUUGGUCCCCCAGAAGUCCCUGUCCCUGAACAUCCCAACUGCCCUGCCUGUCACCUCUGCGUCUCCAGCGUUGCAUCUCCACUCAGUGUAACAUCUUACCUUUCACCAUCUAGUGUGGUUCCUGAAGUCCUUAUUACAGCGUGAGGCAACCAGGAAUCAAAACCAAGUCCCUAACGUCAAGGCCAGUAGGAAAUCUGACUUCAGAUACAAGUAUAUGAAAGGGUGGAAAAAGACUUAAAAGUCAAGAAGAGUGAGAAAUGGAAAAAGAGCAACAGAUUGCCAUUGUCUAUGAUUCACCACAGGUUCUGCUACUUCUUCUCACCCUGAAGUCUUGUCCCCAGACAAAGAACUGGUUCUGCAUAUGGAGAAUGCAACAACAGUCUUGUAUUCAGAGCCAGCAUAAAGACCUCUAUCUUCUUUUUCUCAGGUAA
rnacentral:lncRNA from 1 species